GCUCGGCUCCGCAAACCAGUUGUAAACUAUAGCAAGUUCGCCCCGGUGCUGGCCGUAAGGUUGGUGCUGGGGUUAAAUGGAUAACCGUGGUAAUUCUGAGGCUAAUACAUGAACGUACCCCCUGAUCAACUGGGUAACCGGGAGGUUGGGGACAGUGCGGUCAGUCGCAGAUAUUGCUGGGAAUAGACGCACUUUCAAACCACCAUACCAAACGGUUGGGGUGCUGACCUUCGGGGAGGGCGCCCUUUCUGGGUGGGCCUUGCUUUGUGCUUCUGACCUAUCAACUAGAUGGCAGCGUAACGGACAUGCGAUGGU
rnacentral:rRNA from 1 species